rnacentral:rRNA from 1 species
GACGAACGCUGGCGGCGUGCUUAACACAUGCAAGUCGAACGAAAAGAGGGAAAGAGCUUGCUCUUUCCGGAAUUGAGUGGCAAACGGGUGAAUAACACGUAAACAACCUGCCUUCAGGAUGGGGACAACAGACGGAAACGACUGCUAAUACCGAAUAAGUUCCAAGGGCCGCAUGGCCCAUGGAAGAAAAGGUGGCCUCUACCUGUAAGCUAUCGCCUGAAGAGGGGUUUGCGUCUGAUUAGCUGGUUGGAGGGGUAACGGCCCACCAAGGCGACGAUCAGUAGCCGGUCUGAGAGGAUGAACGGCCACACUGGAACUGAGACACGGUCCAGACUCCUACGGGAGGCAGCAGUGGGGAAUCUUCCGCAAUGGGCGAAAGCCUGACGGAGCAACGCCGCGUGAGUGAUGACGGCCUUCGGGUUGUAAAACUCUGUGAUCCGGGACGAAAAGGCAGAGUGCGAAGAACAAACUGCAUUGACGGCACCGGAAAAGCAAGCCACGGCUAACUACGUG